rnacentral:rRNA from 1 species
CCAAUAGCGUAUAUUAAAGUUGUUGCAGUUAAAAAGCUCGUAGUUGAAUUUCGGGACUAAUAUGUCGGUCGUGCCUCGGGAGGUACUGGCUUCGUUGGUUUCUCUCUUCUGAAGAACCAUGAUGCCAUUUAUUUGGUGUCGUGGGGAAUCAGGACUGUUACUUUGAAAAAAUUAGAGUGUUUAAAGCAGGCUCACGCUUGAUUACAUUAGCAUGGAUUAAUGAAAUAGGACGUAUGAUUCUAUUUUGUUGGUUUCUAGGAUCGACGUAAUGAUUAAUAGGGAUAGUUGGGGGCAUUAGUAUUCAAUUGUCAGAGGUGAAAUUCUUGGAUUUAUUGAAGACUAACUACUGCGAAAGCAUUUGCCAAGGAUGUUUUCAUUAAUCAAGAACGAAAGUUAGGGGAUCGAAGACGAUCAGAUACCGUCGUAGUCUUAACCAUAAACUAUGCCGACUAGGGAUCAGACGAUGUUAAUUUUUUAAUGACUCAUUCGGCACCUUACG